rnacentral:rRNA from 1 species
UGGGGAAUUUUGGACAAUGGGGGAAACCCUGAUCCAGCCAUCCCGCGUGUGCGAUGAAGGCCUUCGGGUUGUAAAGCACUUUUGGCAGGAAAGAAACGUCGCGGGUUAAUACCCCGCGAAACUGACGGUACCUGCAGAAUAAGCACCGGCUAACUACGUGCCAGCAGCCGCGGUAAUACGUAGGGUGCAAGCGUUAAUCGGAAUUACUGGGCGUAAAGCGUGCGCAGGCGGUUCGGAAAGAAAGAUGUGAAAUCCCAGAGCUUAACUUUGGAACUGCAUUUUUAACUACCGGGCUAGAGUGUGUCAGAGGGAGGUGGAAUUCCGCGUGUAGCAGUGAAAUGCGUAGAUAUGCGGAGGAACACCGAUGGCGAAGGCAGCCUCCUGGGAUAACACUGACGCUCAUGCACGAAAGCGUGGGGAGCAAACAGGAUUAGAUACCCUGGUAGUCCACGCCCUAAANGAUGUCAACUAGCUGUUGGGGCCUUCGGGCCUUGGUAGCGCAGCUAACGCGUGAAGUUGACCGCCUGGGGAGUACGGUCGCAAGAUUAAAACUUAAAUGAAUUGACGGGGGUGCAUAGCUGUUU